GCGGACGUGGCGAAACUGGUAGACGCAAGGGACUUAAAAUCCCUCGGCCUUGGCUGUACGGGUUCGACCCCCGUCGUCCGCACCA
rnacentral:tRNA from 18 species